CUGCAGCCCGAGUGGUGAUCGAUUUUAUUGAGCCUAAAGCGUCCGUAGCCGGACUAGUAAACCCUUGGGUAAAUCGGGCAGCUUAACUGUCCGACUUCCGAGGAGACUGCUAGUCUUGGGACUGGGAGAGGUCAGAGGUACUCCAGGGGUAGGGGCUAAAUCCUGUAAUCCUUGGGGGACCACCAGUGGCGAAGGCGUCUGACUAGAACGGAUCCGACGGUAAGGGACGAAACCCUGGGGCGCAAACCGGAUUAGAGACCCGAGUAGUCC
rnacentral:rRNA from 1 species